rnacentral:tRNA from 1 species
GGAGAGAUGUCCGAGUGGUUUAAGGAGCAGACCUGGAAAGUCUGUGUGCCCCUUAAAAGGGUACCGAGGGUUCGAAUCCCUCUCUCUCCG